rnacentral:tRNA from 1 species
GCCCCCGUAGCUCAGACGGAUAGAGCGUCGGUUUCCUAAACCGUGCGUCGCAGGUUCGAGUCCUGCCGGGGGCACCA